AGCAGUGACGCGAGCAGAUUGGUUUCGACCGGAAAAACGCGGCAGCCUCCGACGCAGGAAUUCCCGGAAGGCAACCAGCAGACAGAAGUGUCUCAGGGCGCGGUGUUGUGCCAUCAUCUUUGCGGCUGUUUCAAACAGUUUACCGCUUCCGUUUUGCCGGACAGAUGGCAUCUAAGCUGCUGGUUGCUCCAUCCGAAUCCGGUCACGGAUCAAAAAGGCCCGCUUCCGACAGUCGUACGCCAGGAAAACACGCUCGUGGAAAAUUAGCGCGUCGAGCGAAACCAGCAGUAGCGGAAUUCGAUUCCCAAACGGGACACCGGAAAAAACACCUGGGAAAAGCGAGGAUACCGAUCAUACAAUAGCCCCGAUAUCGGGGUUUUGUUUUGCUACGCCUUUGGCUUUAUUCCGCAGGUGGUGUCGAUCUGUCCGCGGCGUGCUGUUUCCACAUUGUCGUCCGCGUCCGAACCAGGCGGAAUUUCAAAGACCCGGGUGAACAGUGCCAGGUGAAACCCGUUGUGUGGUCCUUUGUGGGUCGCACCCGGAGUGUCAGCCGAGCAAUUGGAAAGGUGCGUGAGGUGCUUGGGCAGAGCCUUACUGUCGUCAUCUGGCCGCUCGAACACUCACGCAAAGCUUAAAGCGUCGCGGGAGAAAGAUUUUCCGUCAAAUAAUCAUCUGGUAAGCAGUGCGAG